rnacentral:lncRNA from 1 species
AAACGUGCCAAACCAGGCAGGCUUUGGUACAAUUCUGGCAUGAAGUCACAUUUUAAGAAAUCUCAGGAUGGCGCACACAGAUGCCUUCAGAGACCACCCCGUCCCAGACAUGUUAUUAGAAUGAGACCUUCUAUGAGAGCUUUCAGCAGAAAAGCAGGCAACCAAACGUCUAAUCCAUGAAGCAG